GCCUCAGGACACAGAGCUGUGGGGGAGCCUUCACCAUGGCCUGGAUGCCUCUGCUGUUCCCACUCCUCACUCUCUACACAGGUUCUGGGGCCUCCUAUGUGCUGACCCAGCCACCUUCAGUGUCCAAGAGCCUGGGAGAGACGGCCUCCAUCUCCUGUGCGGGGGAUGGGAUUAGUAGUAAAUAUGUACACUGGUACCAGCAGACACCUGGCAGGGCCCCAGUGCUGGUCAUUUAUGAAGAUAACAAGAGGCCCUCGGGAAUCCCAGAAAGAUUCUAUGGUUCCAGCUCAGGGAACAUGGCCACCCUGAGCAUCUCUGGGCUCCAGGCUGAGGAUGAGGCUGAUUAUUACUGUCAGGUGUGGGAUAGUGGUGCUAAGGCUCACAGUGAUACAGACUGA